CACGGGUGCGUAACACGUAUGCAAUCUACCCUUAACUGGGGGAUAGCCCCGAGAAAUCGGGAUUAAUACCCCAUAAUAUUGUGAAGAGGAGUCUCCUUACAAUUAAAGCUCCGGCGGUUUUGGAUGAGCAUGCGCGACAUUAGCUAGUUGGUGAGGUAACGGCUCACCAAGGCUUCGAUGUCUAGGGGUUCUGAGAGGAUUCACCCCCACACUGGUACUGAGACACGGACCAGACUCCUACGGGAGGCAGCAGUAAGGAAUAUUGGUCAAUGGACGCAAGUCUGAACCAGCCAUGCCGCGUGAAGGAAGACGGCCCUACGGGUUGUAAACUUCUUUUGUACAGGAAAAAACCACCGGUCGUGUAUCGGUGCUGAUGGUACUGUAAGAAUAAGCAUCGGCUAAC
rnacentral:rRNA from 1 species